CACACACAAGGAUACAGUAAAAAGAGAGAAGGAGUGAUGUCAAAAAGUUUAUUACCAACGAGUUACAAGUAAAGGCAAAGACAGUGACGGAAGAGCUGGACACACACACACACACACACACACACACACACACACACACACACACACACACACACACACACACACACAGGCUGACUUCUGUACCAUAUAAUAAGAGUGCAUAGAAUUAAAAAUGUGGUUAGUUAGCUAUGAAAGGAUUAAUUAAUUAUUUAAUAGAUGAAAAAAAUAUUGAAAAAAAUGCGUGUUCACUGUGAUGAUGAUAAUAAUAAUAAUAAUAAUAAUAAUAAUAAUAAUAAUAAUAAUAAUAAUAAUAAUAAUAAUAAUAAUAAUAAUAAUAAUAAUAAUAAUAAUAAUAAUAAUAAUAAUAAUAAUAAUAAUAAUAAUAAUAAUAAUAAUAAUAAUGACGAUUUAAAUUCAAGUCAAGAUUAUCCAAAAUGUUUAACAAAAAAAAUAUAUCUAAGCAAAAAAAUCGCAUACAAGAAAAGCAAAUAUAUAAGAAAGCAUCCAGUUAAAGAGCGGAAGAGGAGGAGGAGGAGGAGGAGGAGGAGGAGGAGGAGAAAUAAGUGAAGCAAAAAACAAAACAAAAAGCAGAACUGUGAAGAAACAAAGAAGAGAAAGCAAUGUAGAUGUAAACAAAAUGAUGAAUACAGCGAAAAUGAAGAGAUAAGAAGAGAAGAAAGCAAGAUCUGAAGAGAGGAGAUGAGUGAGGAGAACAAGGAAAACAGAAAAGGAAGAGGGGAGACAAGAGGAGAUAAGGAAGAGAUGUGAGGAGAAGGGAGAGAAGAAAGUGAGAGAAGGGAAGUAGUGAAGAGAAAUGGGAAGAGUAGAAAAAACAUGAAAAAAAAGAGAAGGAAGGGAUAUAAUGAGAACAGGAUUGGGGAAAGAAAGUGUGAGAAGAGUUGAGAGAGAGGGAAGCAACGGAGUGAAGAGAAAACUAUGAAGAGAAAGAAAUAGGGAGAUAAAAAAAAAAAAGAGGAAAGGCUUGAGGUGAGAAAGGGAAAGACAGGUGAGGGGAAAGUGUGAAGAGAGAAAAAGAAGAGAGAGGGAAAGAACGGAGUGAAGAGAAAACUAUGAAGAGAAAGAAAUAGGGAGAUAAAAAAGAGGAAAGGUCUGAGGUGAGAAAAUGUGAAAAGAGAUAGAGUGGGAAGAAACGAAGUGACGAGAAAAGUGGGAAGAGAGAGAAGUAAAGAGAGGAAGAAGCGAGGAAAAAUAAUAGGAAAAGAUGAAUACAAAGAUGAGAGAUAAGAAAGAG